GUGCGCUCGCGUGCGUACUUGGGGUAACGAAACCCGGCGCGGAAAGCGCCAAGGAAAACCGAAAUGAAGCGACCGUCCCCCACUCGUGCCCCGUUCGCGGUGAGCGCGGGUGGCGGGAGGUACGUCUCUUGAAAGUCAAAACGACUCUCGGCAACGGAUAUCUCGGCUCUCGCAUCGAUGAAGAACGUAGCGAAAUGCGAUACUUGGUGUGAAUUGCAGAAUCCCGUGAACCAUCGAGUCUUUGAACGCAAGUUGCGCCCGAAGCCUUCGGGCCGAGGGCACGCCUGCCUGGGCGUCAAACAUCGCGUCGCCCCCUCCCCCGCUCCCUUGGAGCGUGCGCGGUAGGAGGCCGGACAUUGGCCCCCCGUGCGUGUUGGCGUGCGGCCGGCCCAAAUGCGAUCCCCCGGCGAUGCACGUCGCGACCAGUGGUGGUUGAAUGCUCAACUCAUGUGCUGUCCGUCGUGUUCCACGGCAUCGUCCGGUCGGGCAUCUCUAACGACCCUAGAUGCGCCAUUGGCGCUUCCGACCGCGACCCCAGGUCAGGCGGGAUUACCCG
rnacentral:rRNA from 1 species